CUCCUCUCAGAUCCUAACUCCAUCCAGGUAGAAGCCAGGCUGUGCCACCCUCCUCUCAGAUCCUCACUCCAUCCAGGUAGAAGCCAGGCUGUGCCACCCUCCUCUCAGAUCCCAACUCCAUCCAGGUAGAAGCCAGACUGUGCCACCCUCCUCUCAGAUCCUAACUCCAUCCAGGUAGAAGCCAGCCAGGCUCCUUCCAGAAUCCCCCUUUCAAUUCCAGGCAGCUGUCAGACCUGCCAUCCU